rnacentral:rRNA from 1 species
UACGUAGGGGGCAAGCGUUGUCCGGAAUCAUUGGGCGUAAAGAGCGUGUAGGCGGCCCGAUAAGUCCGCUGUGAAAGUCCAGGGCUCAACCCUGGGAUGCCGGUGGAUACUGUCGGGCUCGAGUCCGGAAGAGGAGUGUGGAAUUCCUGGUGUAGCAGUGAAAUGCGUAGAGAUUACUAAGAACACCAAUGGCGAAGGCAGCUUGCUGGGCCUUUUCUGACGCUGAGGUACGAAAGCGUGGGGAGCGAACAGG